rnacentral:tRNA from 1 species
GGGGGUAUAGCUCAGUGAUAGAGCGCAUGCUUAGCAUGUGCAAGGUCCUGGGUUCCAUCCCAAGAACCUCCA